CAAAAAUGAGGCAUAGGUGGUUCAGAUAAAAGAGUAGAGGGUAAAGUUAAAGGAGCAAAUUUAUGUUCAAAUUAGCUAUUGUAUGCAUCAUGUUGUUAUUAAUUCAAAUUGUUGCAUGUUGAGAUAAAAGAAGUAACAUAAGAGAUAAAAAAAAUGGACUGUUGAAGAAAUGUGAGGUUAGCUAAGUUAUUAUUUUGUGUGCAUGCGGGAAUUGUGACAUGCAUGUUCUGAUGAGCUUUUGAAGGAUUUGUGCCAGAAAGGGCAUUGUAAGCUAGAUGCAAUUGUUUUGCGUUUACUUUUAUAGGUACUAUUUUCUUGUUAAUUAUUUUUAGUCUUCUGAAUUGUGGUACAGGGAUCUUACCCAAUCAGAGAGGGAAAAG
rnacentral:misc_RNA from 1 species